UUGUCCCGUCCUCGGGAGUUCUUGACGAAGUUGCCAAGUUCUCCCUUUGAGAUCAACUGCUCGACGAAAGACGAGAAUUGCCUGCAGUGGUCUGUUAGGUGGCCGCAGUCUUUGUGAAAUUCACAGUAUUUCCCAGAUUGCAUGCGGCCCUCUUUGCCUGCAGGGUCUAAAGAACGAGGGACAGGUAGAUCCGCUCGGUUCUUUAGCUUCUCAAACAGCUCGCCUUUUCUGAUAGUAAGCGGGGUGUUCCUUUUCCAUAGUGGAAUUACACCCUUUGGCUUGCUGGUUGAGGCUUGGUAUACCUUGUUAUCAUGCCUAGGCUUCCAUUCUUUUUUGGAAGUCUCGGC
rnacentral:lncRNA from 1 species